rnacentral:rRNA from 1 species
UACGUAGGGGGCAAGCGUUGUCCGGAAUCAUUGGGCGUAAAGCGCGCGUAGGUGGCCUCAUAAGUCCGCUGUGAAAGUCAAAGGCUCAACCUUUGAAAGCCGGUGGAUACUGUGAGGCUAGAGUACGGAAGAGGCGAGUGGAAUUCCUGGUGUAGCGGUGGAAUGCGCAGAUAUCAGGGGGAACACCAAUAGCGAAGGCAGCUCGCUGGGACGUUACUGACACUGAGGCGCGAAAGCGUGGGGAGCGAACAGG